AGCGAACGCUGGCGGCAGGCUUAACACAUGCAAGUCUAGCGGGCCUUUCGGGGUCAGCGGCGGACGGGUGAGUAACGCGUGGGAACGUGCCCUCUGGUUCGGAAUAACUCAGGGAAACUUGAGCUAAUACCGGAUACGCCCUUUUGGGGAAAGGCUUGCUGCCGGAGGAUCGGCCCGCGUCUGAUUAGCUAGUUGGUGAGGUAACGGCUCACCAAGGCGACGAUCAGUAGCUGGUCUGAGAGGAUGAUCCGCCACACUGGGACUGAGACACGGCCCAGACUCCUACGGGAGGGAGCAGUGGGGAAUAUUGGGCAAUGGGCGCAAGCCUGAUCCAGCCAUGCCGCGUGAGUGAUGAAGGCCUUAGGGUUGUAAAGCUCUUUUAUCCGGGACGAUAAUGACGGUACCGGAGGAAUAAGCCCCGGCUAACUUCGUG
rnacentral:rRNA from 1 species